UCAGUUCGGAUUGGAGUCUGCAACCCGACUCCAUGAAGCUGGAUUCGCUAGUAAUCGCGCAUCAGCCACGGCGCGGUGAAUACGUUCCCGGGCCCUUGUACACACCGCCCGUCAAGCCAUGGAAGCCGGGAGUGCCUGAAGUGCGUGAGCGCAAGCAGCGCCCUAAGGUAAAACCGGUGACUGGGGCUAAGUCGUAACAAGGUACC
rnacentral:rRNA from 1 species